UACGUAGGGUGGGAGCGUUAAUCGGAAUUACUGGGCGUAAAGCGUGCGCAGGCGGUUUGGUAAGACAGAUGUGAAAUCCCCGGGCUUAACCUGAGAAUUGCAUUUGUGACUGCCCGGCUAGAGUGUGUCAGAGGGGGGUGGAAUUCCACGUGUAGCAGUGAAAUGCGUAGAUAUGUGGAGGAAUACCGAUGGCGAAGGCAGCCCCCUGGGAUAACACUGACGCUCAUGCACGAAAGCGUGGGGAGCAAACAGG
rnacentral:rRNA from 1 species